AUCUAAUGUUAAUUAAACUUUUCUAGGGGCUGGGAUGGAUAAUUCUGCUUUUGUGUUGUUAAAUCUCCUUUGAUUUUAAUUGCAUGACAAAAAAAUUGACUGUUAAUGUAAUGUUAGCAAAUGUUCAGAUUGAUUGCAAGCCUCUGUGUAUGCUAAGUAAAAUAAUUAAAUGCUUUUAAUUGAGGUGGUUUGUUUUGUUGAUUUUUUUUUUUUUUUUUUUUUUUCCUUUUUUUUUUUUUUUUUUUUUUUUUUUUUGUUUUGUUUCUCCACAGGACAGCCACACUGCUAACAAAGCUUGUACUGUCAGGAUGUUGAAGGUCAUUCUAUAAUCUGUUCAGAGAGAGCUACUUCCCUUUAAAUGAAAAGAAAAAUCAACUGAGAUGACCUAAAAUUGUUUAGAAAAUCCUAUUACACUUACUGAAUUCCAGUUAUAUAUUUCAGAUUCACAUAAAAUUCAAUGAACUCUCAUAUCAAAUAUGAAAAAUUGUAGCAAGUUUUCAAUGAUAUGCGCAAUAUUUCUCCCCUUUUGUGCCUGACUUGGACAAACAAGGCACUUCUCUCAGUGAUAGCAAUGGACAAACUGAAAUUAUUAACGUUAAAAUGUACCUAAUACUGUGAUGUGUUUUAGAACUGGAAACAAAGGUAGGACAUGUCUUACACAUCUGUCUUGCUUCUCUGUGCAUCUGUCUGUCUCUUCACAGCAAGUCAAUAAAAAUGAUUAGAGCUGGCAUCUCACAAACGUACACCCUUAAACCAUGAAGAAAUAAUACUGUGAAGGAAAUUUUUUUUCUGACCUUUUCAAAUUACAUCCAACUGUCUAGGGAAUUUCUCAGUGACUGGAGGUAAUAAGGUUCAAUCCGUUUUGCUGGUUGGCUUCAAAUUUAGCUCCUCAGAAGCCCUAACUUAUCUAUUCUUUUUAUCUUGGCCUUGGCAUCUAUUCAGUACAGUAAUCCAUGCAUCUAAUCUAUUUUUUUCUCCCCUCUCAGGUUUAGCUGGUGGAUCACAUUUUGAAAUCUGCAGCCAUGAAAAGCCCUCCAUUUAUUGCACCCUUCAAAACGAAAUAUUAGCAUGGGAGGCUAAGCUGGGUGUUAUGGAGUAAUGACUUCAAGUUCUGCUUCAGAAGUAACUCCAUGG
rnacentral:lncRNA from 1 species